rnacentral:rRNA from 1 species
CAAUAGCGUAUACUAAUGUUGUUGCAGUUAAAAAGACUCGUAGUUGGAUUUCUGGGAUUUUCAGCCGGCCGGCUCUUAGGAGUUGUAGCUAGGUUUGCAAGUCUCAUCUUCUCACAAUUCUCACUGGCCUUAACUGUUCGGUGCAGAGGACUGAGUCGUUUACUUUGAGAAAAUUAGAGUGUUCAAAGCAGGCUAUCGCCUUGAAUAUAUUAGCAUGGAAUAAUGAUAUAGGACUUUGGUUCUAUUUUGUUGGUUGUUCGAGGACCGAAGUAAUGAUUGAUAGGGACGGUUGGGGGCGGUCAGUAUUCUGAAGCGAGAGGUGAAAUUCUUGGACCGUCUGAAGACUGACUACUGCGAAAGCAUUUGCCAAGAGUGUUUUCAUUAAUCAAGAACGAAAGUUAGAGGUUCGAAGACGAUCAGAUACCGU